rnacentral:rRNA from 1 species
CGUGUAGGCGGUGCGGUAAGUUGACGUGAAAUCCCCGGGCUCAACCCGGGCGGUCGUUCAAAACUGCCGUGCUAGAGUGUGGGAGAGGGAAGUGGAAUUCCCGGUGUAGCGGUGAAAUGCGUAGAUAUCGGGAAGAACACCUGUGGCGAAGGCGGCUUCCUGGCCCACAACUGACGCUGAGGCGCGAAAGCUAGGGGAGCAAACA